AUGAACGCUAGCUACAGGCUUAACCCAUGCAAGUCGAGGGGAAACGAUGAGAGAGCUUGCUCUCUUAGGCGUCGACCGGCGCACGGGUGAGUAACGCGUAUCCAACCUACCCAUUACAGGGGGAUAACCUUGCGAAAGUAAGACUAAUACCCCAUGGCAUUUUAUGGUGGCAUCAUUAUAGGAUUAAAGAUUUAUUGGUAAUGGAUGGGGAUGCGUCUGAUUAGCUUGUUGGCGGGGUAACGGCCCACCAAGGCAACGAUCAGUAGGGGUUCUGAGAGGAAGGUCCCCCACAUUGGAACUGAGACACGGUCCAAACUCCUACGGGAGGCAGCAGUGAGGAAUAUUGGUCAAUGGGCGAGAGCUUGAACCAGCCAAGUAGCGUGCAGGAUGACGGCCCUAUGGGUUGUAAACUGCUUUUAUAGGGGAAUAAAGUGAGCUACGUGUAGUUUAUUGCAUGUACCCUAUGAAUAAGGACCGGCUAAUUCCGUG
rnacentral:rRNA from 1 species